UGAAAUUACUCACGGUCUGUCUGCCCAGGUGAGUAUAUAAACGGCCGCAGUAUCCUGACUGUGAUAAGGUAGCGUAAUAACUAGUUUUUUCAUUGAAAACUCGUAUGAAUGACCCGACGAAAGACUCCCUGUCUCGCCGCUCCUUGGUAACUUACUAGCAGAGUAAAAAAGCUCCUACAAUCUAAGAGGACGACAAGACCCUAUAAAACUUUACCCUUCAAACGAUAUACUUAAACCUCAACGGUGCCUAGGGUUUUACUGGGGCGGUAUAAUUUAUUCCAAACAAAAUACACCUAAACGUAAUCAACGAUCUUUCUAAACACUACUCAGUAAUAAAGAACAAGUUACUUUAGGGAUAACAGCGCAAUAUCUCUUUAGAGUUCUUAUCGUACGGAGAUGAUUACGACCUCGAUGUUGAAUUGAAGACCCUUGGUGGGGCAG
rnacentral:rRNA from 1 species